AGUGAACGCUGGCGGUAGGCCUAACACAUGCAAGUCGAACGGCAGCACAGUAAGAGCUUGCUCUUACGGGUGGCGAGUGGCGGACGGGUGAGGAAUACAUCGGAAUCUACUUUUUCGUGGGGGAUAACGUAGGGAAACUUACGCCAAUACCGCAUACGACCUACGGGUGAAAGCAGGGGAUCUUCGGACCUUGCGCGAUUGAAUGAGCCGAUGUCGGAUUAGCUAGUUGGCGGGGUAAAGGCCCACCAAGGCGACGAUCCGUAGCUGGUCUGAGAGGAUGAUCAGCCACACUGGAACUGAGACACGGUCCAGACUCCCACGGGAGGCAGCAGUGGGGAAUAUUGGACAAUGGGCGCAAGCCUGAUCCAGCCAUACCGCGUGGGUGAAGAAGGCCUUCGGGUUGUAAAGCCCUUUUGUUGGGAAAGAAAAGCAGCAGGUUAAUACCCCGCUGUUCUGACGGUACCCAAAGAAUAAGCACCGGCUAACUUCGUG
rnacentral:rRNA from 1 species